rnacentral:tRNA from 1 species
CAGGGAGACAACACAAUGAUUUUGAUGCCUGAGUGCUUUUAUUCUUAGGCCGAAAUCCUGUCACCUUAGGUCGAUCGGUACCUCAGCUUUGAAAUCAAGGAUCAGCAGCAAUGUUGAUUGCUUGAUGGAGAUUUUCAGUUCCUAAACUUUGUCUAGGUCACACCCCAAAAGGGAUGAGACUCCUGGGCCAUUAGCUCAGGUGGUUAGAGCGCACCCCUGAUAAGGGUGAGGUCCCUGGUUCAAGUCCAGGAUGGCCCAUUCGGUGUUGGGGGUUUAGCUCAGUUGGUAGAGCGCCUGCUUUGCAAGCAGGAUGUCAGGAGUUCGAGUCUCCUAACCUCCACUGACCGAACUUGAUUCCCAUCUCCAAUUUUUUGGAGUUGAGCUCGAUUGGAGUGUGAUUUAGAUGUGUCCGCUGGAUGACCCCAGCUUCCUGUCAUUCCAAGUUUUAGGUUGAUGCCUUGAAUUUGGUUGAUAAGAUGCUGGGCUCAGAUCAAGUGAUCAAGCAAUUGAUGAUUUGAUUUGAAGUUCUAGCAGAACCUUGACAACUGCAUAGGUGAGUCUGGAAAAAACAAAGCAUCUUACAGAUGCAUUGUUUUGAAUCUGAUCUUCUGAAAGGGAGAUUGGAUCUAGAACAAUGAAAAUUCUUUUGAGCAAGAGCCGAGACUCUUGAACGUUCUUUGAUUGGUGUCGAGCCAAUCAGAGUUUGAUCUUGUUUUUAGCAAUAAAAACUUGAGAAUCUGCUUUCAACGGCGGUAAGCGUUCAGGAGGUUAAUU